GGUUUCUCUCCUGGACGGAGUUGGAAGAUGUCAUCCUGGACGUGGAAGUGACUUUAAACAACCGACCUCUCAGCUACGUAGAAGAAGACGUCCAACUGCCCUUACUUACACCGAAUACGUUGCAAUUCGUCCGACCAAACAUAUUACCAGAACAACCAGAGCAUCAAAUCGAGAAUCCCGAUCUCCGCAAGAGAGCAAAGUACAUCCGACAAUGUAAAGACGUGUUGUGGAAAAGAUGGUCUUCUGAAUAUUUGAAGGCUCUCCGAGAGCGGCAUAACAUGAAACAUCACGGUAAAGUUAUAAGUAUAAAGAUUGGAGACGUCGUUAUCGUGAAAGGAGAGGAAAAGAAUCGGGGAAAGUGGAAAAUCGGUGUUGUAGAACGACUCGUAGUGGGUAAAGACGGUAUCGUACGGGGAGCGAAACUACGAGUGGGACAGAACACAUUAGAACAUGCAGUUCAACACCUAUACCCUAUGGAACUGUCCUGUGACGUAGCCGUAAAGACGCCAGAGUCGAGACCAAGAGAAACAGAACUGAGAGCUGAUGUACCCGAGUUCAGACCAAAGAGAAAUGCUGCAGCGAUAGCAGAAUGUCGAAUUCAGGACAUAGCAGGUGACGAACAGAAUUAGAACGUUAAUCAUAUAUAGAUACAUAUUCAGCCACAUAGAGAACAAUAUAUCUUGAGUAAUACAAUAUAAUUUAAGUUUUGUUAGGUUACGAACAGUCAAAUUUACACAUAUAGUCGAACUCAAUCAUUAUGGACGGUGAACGAAAACACAAUUCAUUCAUAUUCGUUUACAAAAAACGAAUAGGGGGAGUGUGUUGAGAAUUGUGGUAAUAUUAGUUAAUUAGGAUAAUAUAUAUUUAGUUAUUAAGAACUGUCAAUCAAAUAAUGCAUGCGUCAUAAGUUAAUUAAGUAGAGUAUCAAAUUUAUAAGUAGUGAUUAAGUGAUAGCGUAACUGUUGAGACUGUGAUUUUAGAGC